GACCUGGCUGGGUGGUCUUGCCGCAAGGUAAGCACUGCUCUGGUCGGGUCUUUCUUUCUGGGGCCCUUGCGUGCGCUUAAUUGAGUGCGCAAGGUUAUCCAGGACUUUUACUUUGAAAAAAUUAGAGUGUUUAAAGCAGGCUUACGCUUGAAUACAUUAGCAUGGAAUAAUAGAAUAGGACUUUGGUCUUAUUUUGUUGGUUUCUAGGACCGAAGUA
rnacentral:rRNA from 1 species